CAGUCGCCGCGGGAAAACGAGGGGGGCAAGCGUUGUUCGGAUUUAUUGGGCGUAAAGGGUGCGUAGGCGGUUUGGCAAGUCUUGUGUGAAAUCUUCGGGCUCAACCCGAAGCCUGCACGAGAAACUACCGGGCUUGAGUAUUGGAGAGGUGAGUGGAAUUUCCGGUGUAGCGGUGAAAUGCGUAGGUAUCGGAAGGAACACCUGUGGCGAAAGCGGCUCACUGGACAAUAACUGACGCUGAUGCACGAAAGCUAGGGGAGCAAACAGGAUUAGAUACCCCCGUAGUCCCUGUCUCUUAUAA
rnacentral:rRNA from 1 species